rnacentral:lncRNA from 1 species
CCUCAACAAAUCUGCAAAAAAAAUAUAUAAUAUAUCUUUUUUUAGAAACUUGAGCAAAAACAAAAGUGAGGGAUGUAAAACGAGGGAGAAAGGGAAGAUGCAGACAAGGAAGAAGGCUGGUGCUGGAAUUGAAAAGAUGUUCAACUCAUCUUUAUUGAAAAAAAGUUAAUUUAAUAAUACCUAUUCGUGUAUAAACUGGCAGAUCUACAUGAAAAAACUUAUCUGCAAAAACAAAAAUUGUUUGUUUAAGAACCAAUUUGUGUAGAUAUUCAUAGAUCUAAAAAAAUGAUACCAUAAACACAAAAAAUGAAAAACUAAAAAAUGAAAAAAUAAUAUGCUAAAGAACCUAAAGAUCUUCCUCAACUAAAUAUUUAUAGAUCUACGAAAAUGAUUAAACAAAAAAACCAAAAAAGUAGAGAGAAGAUGAAGUGGUGCAGCUUUACAAGAGUGAGAAUGAAGAAGUUGAAAAAGAAAUAGAAAGAAGAUGAGAAGCACCGCUACUUUACAAUUAAAAUUAGGGUUGUUAAAGUUGUACUCCAUUUUGCCUUUCAAAAAAGUUGUACU